AUACGUAGGGUGCGAGCGUUAAUCGGAAUUACUGGGCGUAAAGCGUGCGCAGGCGGUUUUGUAAGACAGUGGUGAAAUCCCCGGGCUCAACCUGGGAACUGCCAUUGUGACUGCAAGGCUGGAGUGCGGCAGAGGGGGAUGGAAUUCCGCGUGUAGGAGUGAAAUGCGUAGAUAUGCGGAGGAACACCGAUGGCGAAGGCAAUCCCCUGGGCCUGUACUGACGCUCAUGCACGAAAGCGUGGGGAGCAAACAGGAUUAGAUACCCUGGUAGUCCACGCCCUAAACGAUGUCAACUGGUUGUUGGGUCUUCAUUGACUCAGUAACGAAGCUAACGCGUGAAGUUGACCGCCCGGGGAGUACGGCCGCAAGGUUGAAACUUAAAGGAAUUGACGGGG
rnacentral:rRNA from 1 species